GAUGAACGCUGGCGGCGUGCCUAACACAUGCAAGUCGGAUGGUGGUGACCUUUCGGGGUGACCACAGUGGCGCACGGGUGAGGAACACGUAGCUGACCUGCCCUGGAGCGCGGGAUAACCCUGGGAAACGAGGGCUAAGACCGCCUACGCUCACGCGCUGUAGAGGCGCGUGAGGAAAACCUUCGGGUGCUCGUGGGGNGGG
rnacentral:rRNA from 1 species